CUUUUUCCUUUUCAGUGAGUUGGGAACAGCUUACGUUUCUGCAACAACUGGUGCUGUAGCAACAGCUCUAGGACUCAAUGCAUUGACCAAGCAUGUCUCACCACUGAUAGGACGUUUUGUUCCCUUUGCUGCCGUAGCUGCUGCUAAUUGCAUUAAUAUUCCAUUAAUGAGGCAAAGGGAACUCAAAGUUGGCAUUCCUGUCACAGAUGAGAAUGGGAACCGCUUGGGGGAGUCGGCGAACGCUGCGAAACAAGCCAUCACGCAAGUUGUCGUGUCCAGGAUUCUCAUGGCAGCCCCUGGCAUGGGUUAGCAGGACUUUGUCAUUUAUUCCAUAAAUACAGGUUGAACCAGCGUUCACGGAUCCGUGAACCAGAAAACAAACACAAAUAUCGCACCUCUUAGUGGAAAUUGCCUUCCAGUGGGGGUGGCAGAAAAUAAACAAGUAAAUAAAGU
rnacentral:sRNA from 1 species